rnacentral:rRNA from 1 species
UACGGGAGGCAGCAGUGGGGAAUAUUGGGCAAUGGGCGAAAGCCUGACCCAGCAACGCCGCGUGAAGGAAGAAGGUUUUCGGAUUGUAAACUUCUGUCCUAUGUGAAGAGAAGGGGACGGUAGCAUAGGAGGAAGCCCCGGCUAACUACGUGCCAGCAGCCGCGGUAAU